AUUAAACGCUGGCGGCAGGCCUAACACCUGCAAGUCGAGCGGAGCGGCGGCCGGGUGAGUAAUACCUAGGAAUCUGCCUGGUAGUGUGGGAUAACGUCCGGAGACGGGCGCUAAUACCGCAUACUAUCCGCUCCGCAUAGGUCGGAUUAGCUAGUUGGGUGGGUAAAGCCCUACCAGGGCGACGAUCCAUAACUGGUCUGAGAGGAGGAUCAGUCACACGGGAACUGCGACACGGGCCAGACUCCUAAGGGAGGCAGCAGUGGGGAAUAGUGGACAAUGGGCGAAAGCCUGAGCCAGCCAUGCCGCGUGUGUGAAGAAGGUCUUCGGAUGGUAAAGCACUUUAAGUUGGGAGGCGUUACCAACAGAAUAAGCACCGGCUAACUUCGUGCCAGCAGCCGCGGUAAUAC
rnacentral:rRNA from 1 species